UACGUAGGGGGCGAGCGUUGUCCGGAUUCAUUGGGCGUAAAGAGCUCGUAGGCGGUUUGGCAAGUCGGGUGUGAAAUCUCUGGGCUCAACUCAGAGAGGCCACUCGAUACUGCUAUGACUAGAGUCCGGUAGGGGACCGUGGAAUUCCUGGUGUAGCGGUGAAAUGCGCAGAUAUCAGGAGGAACACCGGUGGCGAAAGGCGCCCACUCUGGGCCGAAACUGACGCUGAGGAGCGAAAGCGUGGGGAGCAAACAGGA
rnacentral:rRNA from 1 species